UACGUAGGGGGCAAGCGUUGUCCGGAUUUAUUGGGCGUAAAGAGCGUGUAGGCGGCUUGGUAGGUCCGCUGUGAAAACUCGAGGCUCAACCUCGAGAUGUCGGCGGAAACCACUUGGCUAGAGUCCGGAAGAGGAGAGUGGAAUUCCCCGGUGUAGCGGUGAAAUGCGCAGAUAUCGGGAAGAACACCUAUGGCGAAGGCAGCUCUCUGGGACGGUACUGACGCUGAGAGCGAAAAGCGUGGGGAGCGAACAGG
rnacentral:rRNA from 1 species